rnacentral:rRNA from 1 species
UAGGGAAUCUUCGGCAAUGGACGAAAGUCUGACCGAGCAACGCCGCGUGAGUGAAGAAGGUUUUCGGAUCGUAAAACUCUGUUGUUAGAGAAGAACAAGGACGUUAGUAACUGAACGUCCCCUGACGGUAUCUAACCAGAAAGCCACGGCUAACUACGUGCCAGCAGCCGUGGUAAUACGUAGGUGGCAAGCGUUGUCCGGAUUUAUUAGGCGUAAUGCGAGCGCAGGCGGUUUCUUAAGUCUGAUGUGAAAGCCCCCGGCACAACCGGGGAGGGUCAUUGGAAACUGGGAGAGUUGAGUGCAGAAGAGGAGAGUGGAAUUCCAUGUGUAGCGGUGAAAUGCGUAGAUAGAUGGAGGAACAACAGUGGCGAAGGCGGCUCUCUGGUCUGUAACUGACGCUGAGGCUCGAAAGCGGGGGGAGCAAACAGG